GCCGGGUCGGGCUCCGGCUGCAUCUCGGGCCGCUGCGCCGGGCACCUGUGGCGGCCGCAGGAGCAGCGCUUCCGCCGGCCUGCGCGGCCCCGGGCGGGCGAGCGGGGAGCGGGUGC
rnacentral:lncRNA from 1 species